rnacentral:rRNA from 1 species
AUUGAACGCUGGCGGCAGGCCUAACACAUGCAAGUCGAGCGGAGCGGCGGACGGGUGAGUAAUGCCUAGGAAUCUGCCUGGCAGUGGGGGCUAACGUCCGGAAACGGGCGCUAAUACCGCAUACUAUCAGAUGAGCCUAGGUCGGAUUAGCUAGUUGGUGGGGUAAAGGGCUACAAAGGCGACGAUCCGUAACUGGUCUGAGAGGAUGAUCAGUAACACUGGAACUGAGAAACGUUCCAGACUCCUAAGGGAGGCAGCAGUGGGGAAUAUUAGGCAAUGGGCGAAAGCCUGAUCCAGCCAGGCAGCGUGUGUGAAGAAGGUCUUCGGAUUGUAAAGCACUUUAAGUUGGGAGGCGGUACCAAAAGAAUAAGCACCGGCUAACUACGUGCCAGCAGCCGCGGUAAUAC